GACGAACGCUGGCGGCGUGCUCAACACAUGCAAGUCGAACGGAAAGGCCCUGCUUUUGUGGGGUGCUCGAGUGGCGAACGGGUGAGUAACACGUGAGUAACCUGCCCUUGACUUUGGGAUAACUUCAGGAAACUGGGGCUAACACCGGAUAGGAGCUCCUGCUGCAUGGUGGGGGUUGGAAAGUUUCGGCGGUUGGGGAUGGACUCGCGGCUUAUCAGCUUGUUGGUGGGGUAGUGGCUUACCAAGGCUUUGACGGGUAGCCGGCCUGAGAGGGUGACCGGCCACAUUGGGACUGAGAUACGGCCCAGACUCCUACGGGAGGCAGCAGUGGGGAAUAUUGCACAAUGGGCGGAAGCCUGAUGCAGCAACGCCGCGUGCGGGAUGACGGCCUUCGGGUUGUAAACCGCUUUCGCCUGUGACGAAGCGUGAGUGACGGUAAUGGGUAAAGAAGCACCAGCUAACUACGUG
rnacentral:rRNA from 1 species